rnacentral:rRNA from 1 species
GUUAGGAAAUGCAGGUGCGUUAAUAGCGCACUUGCUUGACUAAGGCUCCAGAGGAAGCCACGGCUAACUCUGUGCCAGCAGCCGCGGUAAUACAGAGGCGGCAAGCGUUGUUCGGAAUUAUUGGGCGUAAAGAGCACGUAGGCGGCCUUGCAAGUCAGCUGUGAAAGCCUUCCGCUUAACGGAAGAACGGCAUCUGAUACUACAGGGCUUGAGUACGGGAGGGGAGAGUGGAACUUCUGGU